AAUCAAUCCAGCAUGAUCUGGGAAACAUUUUCAAACAGAACACACACUGUUGUGUUUUCUGUCUGCUUUGAUUUCCUUACCGUUACUAUAUGGGACGGAUCUGCACUGUUGACUGAAGCCGUAUUUUAUUCAUUUUUUUUUUUUUACUGCUGUAUAAAAUUCCAUAGAGUGAAUAUUGCUGUAAUAGAUUUAUCCAUUUCCCAGCUGAUGAGCAUAAAGGUCACACUUUCUGCCUGUUAUUAAUAAAGCCAUCAUAAACCUUUUAAGUUCUGCAUUUGGAUGAACAUAAACACUCCUUUCUCCAGAACAUGUACCCAAGAGUGGAAAUGCUGGGUCACGGGUUCAGUAUAUAUUUGGUUUUUGAAAAUACUGUCAGGUAUCUUCCCCAUAGGUUAUUUGUAGCCACAGCAGUAGAGUCCCAACUGAUGUCCAGCUUCUUAAGACAGCAUAGGGUGGUCACCGUCCAAAGGCAAGGCACCCAGCAGGGCUGCGCUUAGAAAAAAAGGCUGUAUUUCGUCUGUCUUUCUGUUGUGAUCUCUGUCACAGCACCUACAUCUGACCACCCAGAUGCCAGGGGAAAAAACGACAAUUAGCAGACAAACCCCACUGAAGAAGCACUGGACAGCACCACUCCCCUGAUCAGGGAGUGCUGAGACAGAGACAGCAAGACAACAAAUCCUGUCUGGAAGAUCCCAGUGGUGUGAUUCUGUCCAAGCACAACACCUGCUUCAGUUCCAAAGUGUCAGCUCCACAGGGAUGAAAGAUCCAUCAGAGUCAGCUGGGAAUCUGCUUCUGUCCCCAGGACCCAGGAUAUGAAGAAUCCACCUGGAAUUUGCCAGCAUCACAGCAGAAGAGAAGCAUGCACAUCAAAACCACCCUUCAGCUCUAAAGAUUUCCUUUCAGCACUGAUGUGAUCCUUUUAUGCCCAUAUUUUUUGAACAGAACAAGUCACAUGCCCAAGACACUGAGAGUAGGAUAUUAUAUAAGCCCUUGGGAAAAACCAGCAACAUUUAAUGGAUGCUUGUGCCUACUAAAUCUAUUAGGCUGAUGUGCCUGUGAGACCUCA